GCGAUCAGAUCCAGUAUCUUCUUACGGUCCAUGCUGGGCUCUUUUUGAUUUGCACUGCAUUGCCACCUGUCUGAUCAGAGCACCACGCUGUGCAAACAG